rnacentral:rRNA from 1 species
AUUGAACGCUGGCGGCAGGCCUAACACAUGCAAGUCGAGCGGUAACAGGGAUAGCUUGCUAUCUGCUGACGAGCGGCGGACGGGUGCGUAACACGUAGGAAUCUACCCAGUAGCGGGGGAUAGCCCGGAGAAAUCCGGAUUAAUACCGCAUACGCCCUACGGGGGAAAGCAGGGGAUCUUCGGACCUUGCACUAUUGGAUGAGCCUGCGUCGGAUUAGCUAGUUGGUGGGGUAAAGGCCUACCAAGGCGACGAUCCGUAG